rnacentral:lncRNA from 1 species
AUCAAUUCCAGGGCAGAAAUAAAGGGAACAGCUGCCGGAAUUCAGCAGAAGGAGGAACGCAGAGCCACACAAUUAGCCCAAGUCACCACCUUCAGGUUCUAUUAUACAUGUGACAUCGUCUGGCUCCGGACAGAGCAGUGUCUGGAACACACCUUCGCUAGGAGGUAUGGAACAAACAAAAGAAGACAAUUACCAAGUGGGAUAGUGAAUAAAAGAUACAGGAAGUCUACAGAAAGACACAGGAAGAGGAGGCCACACCUAAAUGCUGGCAAGGGAGCAGGCAACAGGGUCAGACGCCAAGCCUCAGACCCCUCCUGGAUACGAACCAUCCCCUGCCUCAUCAGAGCCUGGGAAGAUUUCCUACUCGUGAGGCUAACGAAUCGCUCAGAACACAACCAUCUCAUUAAGCAAUUAGCUCUGGGAGCGCCAAGGCAAGGAAGUGACCUCACUGGCCGCUCGACAAGACACCGCCCUGCCGCUGGGGAGGAAGGUAACAGGGUAAUCAUGACCACGGUGGGAGGGACAUUGAUGGUGAUGUCAAGUGACGGAAAAGGUGACGGGUGUCAGAUCUCUGUGAUGGUGGAGGAGAUGCUGGGGCUGGGAACUGACUUGAUGGUGGUGCAGGGGAUGGUUGAUGGUGGUGGCAGAUCACAGCGGUGAUGGCAAGGUGACAUUGGUAGUGAUGACUGACGGGGUAGACCCUGUGGCUGGGCUCCCUCAGCCUCCAUCCCAUCCUCCUCAAUGACAGGGAAGUUGGAAAGUUAGCAACGACAUAGCCCUCCCUUGUGGCGUUUACAUGUGGAUUCACUGGGGCAGAAUCUGGAUGGCAGAAGCGAGGCGGAGUCCUUUCCAAGCUUUGGUUUUCUAAUUUCUAAUAAUAGUAGAGCACUGCUGGAGUUCCUGUUGUGGUGCAGCGGAAACGAAUCCGACUAGGAACCAUGAGGUUGCGGGUUCGAUCCCUGGCCUCACUCAGUGGGUUAAGGAUCCAGCGUCGCCAUAGCUGUGGUGUAAGUCACAGAUGCGGCUCGGUUCCCACAUUGCUGUGACUGUGGUGUAGGCUGGCAGCUACAGCUCCAAUUAGACCCCUAGCCUGGGAACCUCCAUAUGCCGCAGGUGAGGCCCUAAAAAAAAAAAAAAAAAAAAGGCAAAAAAAAAAAUAAUAGAACAUUGCUGGCCACAUAAUAAGCACUAUCUACAAUUUGGUUGUUGUUACUUUUUUUUUUUCUUGCUCUCUUUUGGCUGUUUCUGCUGGCCAGCAAGAUUGCAGUGAACAGGUGGUUUUUCUGCCACAGUGUCCUGAUAUUGGGUCCAGCUUCCAGCUUGCCCAAAGGCUGUGGCAAUGCUGAUCAUGGUAGUAGCAACUUCUUACCUGCAGCUUCCUGCUGCUCCCUGGACUGAAGCUCCAGGGGAGUGUUCUGGAAUUCACAGCACCAAAGGCAGUGGCUCUCUUGGCGGGUCAGUUCUGUAUGAUUCAGGGGGUCCUUCCAAGAGGCAUGGCUUAUUUGUCCUCUCCAGUGAUUGUCCUGCAUUCAAUAUCUUCCUGAUAAAAAGACCAAGGGGAGUGGGCAAAUACAGUUUGAGAGCCCGAGGAUGGUUAGAGCUGCUGAUGCUUGAAGUCACAAGACAUGGGUGGUGAUGGUGUCUGGUGAGGAGCAUGGAGCUAAAUUGACAGGUACUUGAUCUUGAGACUGAUGGAAAUGGUGAUAGUGACAGUGUCUGGUGGAGAAGGUAGGUGACUACAAGAGUUGUUUGCCUCAAGAAUCUGCUCUGGCUGACCUAAGAGGAAAUGAAAGAUGAUUGGGGAGCUCCCAGAAUGGACACAAAGCCUAGUCAUCCAGGCUGAGACAAAGGGCAGGAACUAAAGACGUCACAGCAUUGGACCGACCGAGCCCCCUCUAUAAGACACCGCAGACACAACUGUCACCAUCAGGGACCACGCGGACCCCUGCUCCCAAAGGCCACCUUCCUGAGUGAAUUCUAACCCCUCCUAUAUUUUCAUCCCUCACUGGAGAUUCAAAGUUCUGGGCUGAGGCAUCCACCUGGCCAAGUCCAGGUCAUGAGCCAUGUCCUAUCUGCCCAGGAGUGGGAAGAGGGGUCUGCGGUCCCCUUAGCUUCAGUAGUAGGAUGUCCAUCAAGACUCACGCAGCAGGGGCUUCCCGCCAAAGAGAAACGGGAUUGGGAUGCAGGGCAACCAGAACACAACAAAAUCUCACCCAGUAAGGAAGCCUGGUGGGGAUGAUGGUAUGAAGCUGAGAAGAGAUGCUGCUUUGUUUAUUAAAACCAAAACUAAGUCAGAGGCAGCUGGACCUUUCAACACUAGCCACACCCAAAGCUCCUUAUGAUUGCCCACCAGGUCCUGCUGUCACCACCAUAGGCGCCCCAUGGGGCCCCAGGAAAGAUGUUCCAUGCUCUGCCCUUUCCCUUGCAGCGCAGCACAGAACAGAAACCUGAACAUUCAAACAGGAUGUUAGCAAUGGCCCAGGAAGAACAAAAGGGAAACAAACACAGGCAUCUGUUCAUUUAUUCCACAUCCUUUUAUUGGGCACCAAUCGGGUACCAGACUCAGCAGAGGAUGAGGUCUCUACCUCGCAGAGCUUACAAUGUAGUGGGGCAGACAGUCAAACCAGUAGACAGGAUUCAGGGGGGCAGGAAACACAAGGAGGAGGAGGUGGAGAGGAACUGAGGGAGCCCCUUUGGAGGAAGAGGUCAGGGGAGGGCUCUGAACUGAAGCUGAAGCCAGACGUGCAAAGAUGGGGGUGGCUGUGGGUUCCGAGGCCCUGUGGCCAGAACAAGCUUGUGCUUGUGGAGCAGAAAGGUGGCCAUGCAGCGGAAGCACAGGGACUGGGGGUGGGAGGAGAAAGAAUUGACAUUUUAGGAGUUCCCAUUGUGGGUCAGCAGUAAUGAACCUGACUCAUAACCAUGAGGAUGAGGGUUCGAUCCCUGGCCUUGCUCAGUGGGUUAAGGAUCCGGCCUUGCUGUGAACUGUGGUGUAGAUUGCAGAUGCGGCUCCGAUCCUGUGUCAUUGUGGCUGUGGCGUAGGCUGGCAGCUGUAGCUCCGACUGGACACUUAGCCUGGGAACUUCCUUAUGCCAUGGGUGCAUCUCUAAAAAGCAAAAAAAAAAAAGAAUUGGCAUGUGAUUCCCAUCAAUGGGAAGCCACUAAGGGCCCUCCUUGGAGGGUCCUCAGGCAUGAGUCCAGGAAAAGACGAGCAGGAUGCAGGACGGGGCAGAGGGUCAGCAGAGGUAAGGCAGGGCCUCCCCCGGCUCCUGCUUCUUCAGUGAGGUGUGAGGCUAGGUCACUGCUCAGGGGGAGCAGGAGAUGGCAGGACUUGUGUCCAUGAGGCCACGCGGGCUUCCAGGGUCCUAGAAGAGCCGUAAUACAUCCCUGGGGAACCCGGGUCCUAAUCAUCCCCCUGGACCCCUCCUGGAAGUUUCCCUGGAGGAUGGAGGCGCUUCCUUGGCUGAGAAGAGGCCAAGCAGUAAAACUGAAGUCUCGACCAUUACAAGCACAAGGUCAAUCAUGAGCAUCGUCACCGCCACCUUUACACCAAUGGGCACAAGGACAGGACAGGAAACCCUCAAGGGCACCUUGACUCUGUGAUCCAGCAGGACCGCAGCCCCUAGCUGCCCUGUGGAUGGCAGUGGGACUGUCCUGGGACAGGGUGGUGUGCUGGAGCUGGCUCCUACAUGCUUGAGAGAGCCGACUCCACGAGCCUCUUCCCACCUCCAUGAGCCUCUUCCCACCUCCAUAAGCAAUGACGCCACGUGGGUAGCUUGAAAUCGGCCACAGUGGAGGGCUUUCGGUUAUUUUUCCCAGCUAGCCAGCUGGCCAACCUACUUUUGGACAGUGCCCCAGGGACAGUUAGAGAUCCUGCCCCACACCAUUUGUCUCUGCAAAAACUCCUGAGCCUGGAGCAGGACCAGUGGAAGGAGACAGCCACGCACGACCAGAGUCCCGGUGGGCAGCUGGGCUGGUGGGCAGAUGCUGGGUGGAGGUGGGAAGUCACCUCCUCUCAAUUCACACCUGAUGGUGGACCAGAGAGCCCUGGCAUCACAUUCACCGGAGCCUCUGCUCCAGCCCUGGGGCCUAAAGGAAGGCCUAUGGGCUCCCAGCUGGACUGCCUGACUCACCCUCCUGGGCUGGGUCUGUCCUGGGAGGGACCAAGGGCUGCUUCUCCCUGCUCUCUGAUCCCAGGAUGAGCGCUGACCUUGGUCAUAAACUGGACCUGAGCCCAGUGACAAAGAUCUCCACCCAGACCCAGACAGAACCCCACCCUAGAUCUGGGCUGGGCUAUGAUCGGGCCACAGAAAACACACUCCCACCUUCAUCUGCCCCUGCCACAGGCUCAGCCCUAAAAUCAUGACAAAGCCCGGCCCUUGAGCCCAAAGGGGAGCAGGGCUGGAGAGGGGUUGGCUCAGCACCAUCCACCUCUGUAGUCUGAGCUCCUGCCUGGGAAGCAAACAGUAAGAAAUCAAACCAAAUUAAAACCCACUAGCAUCUCCUCCUUGCUUUAGAGACACAUCUUGGUCUUAGGAAAUAAAGCCUAAAUGCAAAGCAUAUUUUCUAAGCCCUAACCCCUCCCCAUCCGUGUCAGACUCCCUCUUUGGUUUGGAGGAUUCUUGCCCUAAACCUCCUUCCCCAAAGCCCCCAAACACAGAUCUCCAGGUCACCAGGAGGAGAAGGAGCUGUGAAAGCCCCAGGAACUUCAUCUGAGAACCUAGGGAGUAGAAGCCAGGCCCUGAUCUGGCUAAUGGCUAAGACCCUUCUUCUCUACAGCCUCAGUUUCCCUGUCUGUACAGUGAAAGAUUUAACCUUGCAGCUCUAAUGUCCAAAGUUAAGGCUCUUUUUGUUUAUUUUGUCUUUUUUUUUUUUUUUUUUUUUUUUUUUUUUGUCUUUCUAGGGCCGCACCUGCAGCAUAUGGAGGUUCCCAGACUAGGGGUCUAAUCGGAGCUGUAGCCACCGGCCACAGCCACAGCCACAGCAACGCAGGAUCCGAGCCGCGUCUGCAACCUACACCACAGCUUACGGCAACGCCGGAUCCUUAACCCACUGAGCGAGGCCAGGGAUCGAACCCACAACCUCAUGGUUCCUAGUUGGAUUCGUUAACCACUGAGCCACGACGGGAACUCCCAAAGUUAAGGCUCUCGAUGGAAAUUUAGGGCCCCAUGUUCAAGGGCUGGAAGAGUUGUGCUUCCUGGAUAAUUCAGACCCAGAAAACCCAGGCAACUUUUCUUAAAACCUGUGUGGGGAGUGAGAUCCCAUUGUGGUUCAGAAGGUUAAGAACUUGACAUAGUGUCUGUGAGGAUGCAGGUUUGAUCUCUGGCCUUGCUCAGUGGGUUAAGGAUCUGACGUUGCUGCAAGCUGUGGUGUAAGUAGCAGAUGCGGCUCGGAUCUGGCGUUGCUGUGGCUGUGGCUGCAGCUCUGAUUCAACCCCUAGCCUGGGAACUUCAUAUGCCACAGGUGUGGCCAUAAAAAGAAGAAAACAAAACAAAACAAAACGAAAAUGCAAAAAAAAAAAAACCCUAUGUGGGAUACUGGAUUUAAGUCCUGGGAUGUCAUCUUAGCUCUGAUACCUUGCACUCACUAGUGACUUGGCUUCUCUGGGCC